AGCACCCAAUGCUCGACAACGCACCAUUGUUCGACACUAAAAAACUAAACGCAAAAAAAUAACACUAUUAAACGUUUUUCGAACGCACCAAAGCAUUGAGCCAUAGACAACUGUCACUAACUUGUCAUUGUGGAUGACAUUUCCUACAUUUGGCCAUUUUGUACAAAAUGGUGAGGGUUUAAAUAUCGACCGGCGGACAACUCUUUCGUAAAUCCAGUUUUACUAGCGGAAUCCUUAAGGAGAAAUGGCGCCUAAAAAAAAUUACACGCCUGCACAAAUGGCUCAGGCUAUAGAAGCGGUCAAAAAAGGCGAAAAAAUUAAAACUGCAGCAAACAAGUAUGGUGUGCUCAGGAUUACCCUAUAUGACAAAAUUUCGGGUAAAACUCCAGUCAAGUAUUCUAUGGGUCCUAGUACCUAUUUGUCUACAGAAGCAGAAAACCUUUUAGAAAAAUGGGUAAUUGACAUGGCGGGAAAACACAUUCCCAUUACAAGAGACGAAUUGCUUGACAGUGUGCAACGCAUUAUUA